rnacentral:misc_RNA from 1 species
GUUACCCGAGAUCAUAGGAAAGAGGUCAGAGUUUUACUCGUUAAUGUAUUUAUUCCAUGAAUUAAUUUUCUUGUCAGUUAUUAUUGGUUUUGCAUAAUUUGCCAAUGCUCAUUUGACAUCAUUUGUGGAAGGAUUCAUAAACGCAUGAAUGUAAAAUGUCUAUAUGAAUUGAGGGAUUGCCAGUUAAUAGAGCCUGGAACAAGGAGAAGUCAGUGUAGAAGUUCUGGAAUCAACUCCUACUCCUGAUAUGUUGCUGAAGCUUUUUAUUUUCAUUUUUCAGCACAAUGAAUCUAGUAUCUUUGAUUUGUUAAAUUGGCCAUUUCUAAAUGGUCAAACCAAAGUGGAGAGUCGACCAAACAACCAAUUAAUGCACCGACAUAGUUAACCCCUGCUACGUGUGUAUGAUUCUAAGUAUUGAUCCUUAUGACUUUCUUUUAGAGAUAUUCCAAAAUACUUAUUGAGUGCAAUUGUUUUCAGAAAAAAAAAUAACGUUGUGCUUUUCUUUGAUUUAAUAACUUUGUGGUUUAUCAGGCUUAUUUGGUCACAAUCACUAUCUUGUUAGAGCUUGAGGUAAAAAAUGAACAGAGGAAUGCUAAGG